UGGGGAAUAUUGCACAAUGGGCGCAAGCCUGAUGCAGCGACGCCGCGUGGGGGAUGACGGCCUUCGGGUUGUAAACUCCUUUCGCUAGGGACGAAGCGCAAGUGACGGUACCUGGAGAAGAAGCACCGGCUAACUACGUGCCAGCAGCCGCGGUAAUACGUAGGGUGCGAGCGUUGUCCGGAAUUACUGGGCGUAAAGAGCUCGUAGGUGGUUUGUCGCGUCGUUUGUGUAAGCCCGCAGCUUAACUGCGGGACUGCAGGCGAUACGGGCAUAACUUGAGUGCUGUAGGGGAGACUGGAAUUCCUGGUGUAGCGGUGGAAUGCGCAGAUAUCAGGAGGAACACCGAUGGCGAAGGCAGGUCUCUGGGCAGUAACUGACGCGGAGGAGCGAAAGCAUGGGUAGCGAACAGG
rnacentral:rRNA from 1 species